AUUGAACGCUGGCGGCAUGCCUUACACAUGCAAGUCGAACGGUAACGGGCCUUCGGGUGCCGACGAGUGGCGAACGGGUGAGUAAUGUAUCGGAACGUACCUUUCAGUGGGGGAUAACGUAGCGAAAGUUACGCUAAUACCGCAUAUUCUGUGAGCAGGAAAGCAGGGGAUCGCAAGACCUUGCGCUGAUUGAGCGGCCGAUAUCAGAUUAGCUAGUUGGUGAGGUAAAGGCUCACCAAGGCGACGAUCUGUAGCGGGUCUGAGAGGAUGAUCCGCCACACUGGAACUGAGACACGGUCCAGACUCCUACGGGAGGCAGCAGUGGGGAAUUUGGACAAUGGGGGCAACCCUGAUCCAGCCAUGCCGCGUGAGUGAAGAAGGCCUUCGGGUUGUAAGCUACUUCGGUCCGGGAAGAAAUACGUAUAGGGUUAAGUACCGUCGUGCGGAUGACGGUACCGGCGAUAACGAAGACACCGGCCGUAACUACCGUGCCAGCAGCCGCGGUUAAAAACG
rnacentral:rRNA from 1 species